GUGUCGGCGGUGACUCAGCCACACACCAGCCUAUAGUGAUGACUGUAGUGAUUUACCUCGGCAUCAAGCAGGGGCAGAAACAGAUCAGCAGAAAAACUGCAGCCUGCAGCAUCGACAUCAUGUCUGCCCCUUGAGUAACAGACAGUCUCCCACACUGUCAGUGGUCUCCACUCCAAAUCUGCUUUCAGCCAGUAACUGUGAAGUAGCCAAGCAGUCAGACCUACAGGUUGACCUUCUGUUUUCAUCAACAUCCCCCAUGUUUACAAAAGAUAGCACCAGCAUGAACUGAAGAGGCUAGGUAUUACAAGGGUAUGUUCAUGCAGAACAGAUUUGCCACAGUGAAGCCAUGUUGAGAAAAUUGGCAGUGUUUUACAGUAGAAGCAAAAUGGAUGGGAUUUGAAGAACAUGACCUGCAGUACAGAUUUCAAAUCUACUGCAGUAAAU